rnacentral:lncRNA from 1 species
GGAGCCGGCAGGUGGAGCGGGUCGUACGUUGCCACCUCCCUGCCUCUGGGACGUAUCCGGACUGUAUCCCUGUUUAUCCGGACGUCGUUAGGGCCGUGAGGCACAUGCCGGGUCGCCCCUUUACUGAACAUGCAGCCUGGAUGGGCUUCCGACUGUCUCGAGGACUGCUCUGUGGGCGAAGACAGAGGCAGGCUUAAAGCCAAAUCAGCAAGCACCUCCAGGUGGCUAGUCCUUCACAUUCAGGCCAGAAACUCGUCAGGAGCAAAGCCCCAAGAAGACGAACUAGCACUAAUUAGUGACGUGAGACAGACAUAGAGGAGCAAAUACUGUUUCCUCUCACUCGUAUGAGGCACCUGAACAGUCAAGUUCACAGAGACAGAAAGUGUAUGGUUGGAGGGGUCGGGGGCGGGGAGUCGUUUAAAGGGGGCAGAGCUUCUGUUUGGCAAGAUGUAAAGAGCCAUGGACAGUGGGUAACAUGGUGGAGCUGGACACGUAGAAAUAAUUAAGGUGGUAAAUUUCAUGCUGUGUAUAUUUUACCACAUUUUAAAAAAGAUCUCACACUUAAAUGUUAUUUAUCUGACUGAGUUGCCAGUCCUGGCUCUGCCACCCCCCUUACCUCGUGGGAUCUGAUGAAUUUUAAAAGUUAAGAAAGUGAACACGUUAUGGAACCUCAGGGUUUGACGACCGUUCGGUUCACACCGGUCCCGUGGGAACUAGAGUCGAAGGGACCAGACUCCAGCCCGGCGCCCCCAGCCCUCUCUGCACUCACUGUUGGCCUGGAAAGAUGCAAACACAGUUUCUAACUGCUCAAGGCCACAUCCUUAGGAUGACCCCAGCCCCCCACCCCCCCAAAAUGUCUGCCUGAGGAAAUCCGAGGCUGCCUGAAGACUCUGCUGUUUGUCCAGCCAAAACCUGCCACAGGCCCUGGUCUCCCAACCUCUGUGUGAGGGUCGGCACCUAACUGGAUCACCUCCUGUUAGACAAUCCCCAGAUGGGUUCCCAGGCACCUAACUGGAUCACCUCCUGUUAGACAACCCCCAGAUGGGUUCCCAGGCCCACCCCCUUCCACCCCUGGACAGCCCUUUGCUUCUCUAACUCUACAGAGCCUGCUGCUGCUGCUGCUAAGUCGCUUCAGUCGUGUCCGACUCUGUGCGACCCCAUAGACAGCAGCCCACCAGGCUCUGCCGUCCCUGGGAUUCUCCAGGCAAGAACACUGGAGUGGGUUGCCAUUUCCUUCUCCAUUGCGUGAAAGUGAAAAGUGAAAGUGAAGUUGCUCAGUCGCGACUGACUCGUGCGGACCCCAUGGCCUGUAGCC